GUUAAUUUCUUAACAGACCCGUUGGAAGGGAGAUCUACCCUUCGACCAGCCGACAUUCUUGUCUUUGGAUGGGUAAGAGGAAAACACGCCUGUGUGGAUCUAACAGGGGUUUCCCCGCUCGUGGGCUUAGGGAGUAGUGCUUUCACAGUGGGUCAGGCUGCUUCGGGUAAAGUGAUCAAGCAUGAGAAAGCUUGCCUUGACAACCAGCACGCUGUGGACCUACUUAGUCGAGUUCAAAGGGUCAUGCAUAGUAAUGUUAUGA
rnacentral:lncRNA from 1 species